rnacentral:rRNA from 1 species
AUUGAACGCUGGCGGCAGGCUUAACACAUGCAAGUCGAGCGAGCGGCGGACGGGUGAGUAAUGUCUGGGAAACUGCCUGACGGAGGGGGAUAACUACUGGAAACGGUAGCUAAUACCGCAUACCAUCAGUUGUGCCCAGAUGCGAUUAGCUAGUAGGUGGGGUAAUGGCUCACCUAGUCGACGAUCCCUAGCUGGUCUUAGAGGAAGACCAGCGAAAAUGAAAAGGAGACACGGUCCAGACGCCUACGGGAGGGCGAAGUAGGGAAUAUUGCACAAUGGGCGCAAGCCUGAUACAGCCAUGCCGCGUGUGUGAAGAAGGCCUUCGGGUUGUAAAGCACUUUCAACGAGGAGGCGUUACUCGCAGAAGAAGCACCGGCUAACUCCGUGCCAGCAGCCGCGGUAAUUC